GGGUGAGUAAUGCCUAGRAAUCUGCCUAUUAGUGGGGGACAACGUUUCGAAAGGAACGCUAAUACCGCAUACGUCCUACGGGAGAAAGCAGGGGACCUUCGGGCCUUGCGCUAAUAGAUGAGCCUAGGUCGGAUUAGCUAGUUGGUGGGGUAAAGGCUCACCAAGGCGACGAUCCGUAACUGGUCUGAGAGGAUGAUCAGUCACACUGGAACUGAGACACGGUCCAGACUCCUACGGGAGGCAGCAGUGGGGAAUAUUGGACAAUGGGCGAAAGCCUGAUCCAGCCAUGCCGCGUGUGUGAAGAAGGUCUUCGGAUUGUAAAGCACUUUAAGUUGGGAGGAAGGGCAGUAAAUUAAUACUUUGCUGUUUUGACGUUACCGACAGAAUAAGCACCGGCUAACUCUGUGMCACCCCCACGAWWAUAGGCUAC
rnacentral:rRNA from 1 species